GAGCUGGAUGCCGGGCUCGAUCCUACGAACUGACAGAGAUUAGCACCACCCCUGUGCAAGGAUGACACACAAAUUCAUGAAGUGUUCCGUAUGUUU
ensembl:snRNA U6 U6 spliceosomal RNA